AUUGAACGCUGGCGGCAGGCCUAACACAUGAAAGUCGAGCGAGCGGCGGACGGGUGAGUAAUGUAUGGGAAACUGCCUGAUGGAGGGGGAUAACUAAUGGAAACGGUAGCUAAUAACGCAUACCAUCAGAUGUACCCAGAUGGGAUUAGCUAGUAGGUGGGGUAAUGGCUCACCUAGGCGAAGAUCCCUAGCUGGUCUGAGAGGAUGACCAGCCACACUGGAACUGAGACACGGCCCAGACUCCUACGGGAGGCAGGAGGGGGGAAUAUUGCACAAUGGGCGCAAUCCUGAUGCAGCCAUGCCGCGUGUAUGAAGAAGGCCUUAGGGUUGUAAAGUACUUUCAGCGGGGAGGCGUUACCCGCAGAAGAAGCACCGGCUAACUCCGUGCCAGCAGCCGCGGUAAUUC
rnacentral:rRNA from 1 species